rnacentral:rRNA from 1 species
UGGGGAAUCUUGGACAAUGGGGGCAACCCUGAUCCAGCCAUGCCGCGUGAGUGAUGAAGGCCUUAGGGUCGUAAAGCUCUUUCGCCUGUGAAGAUAAUGACGGUAGCAGGUAAAGAAACCCCGGCUAACUCCGUGCCAGCAGCCGCGGUAAUACGGAGGGGGUUAGCGUUGUUCGGAAUUACUGGGCGUAAAGCGCACGUAGGCGGACCAGAAAGUUGGGGGUGAAAUCCCGGGGGCUCAACCCCGGAACUGCCUCCAAAACUAUUGGUCUAGAGUUCGAGAGAGGUGAGUGGAAUUCCAAGUGUAGAGGUGAAAUUCGUAGAUAUUUGGAGGAACACCAGUGGCGAAGGCGGCUCACUGGCUCGAUACUGACGCUGAGGUGCGAAAGUGUGGGGAGCAAACAGGAUUAGAUACCCUGGUAGUCCACACCGUAAACGAUGAAUGCCAGUCGUCGGGUAGCAUGCUAUU